UUUUUAUUUUUUUUUUAUUUAUUUAUUUUAUUUUUUUUUGUGCAUUCAGUUCCUCCAGUGUUCUUUGAGAUCUUCCUUAAUUUUUCAAUCUUACCAUCAUUGUCUCUUAACUUCUUGCCUGUUAUGGUUUCUCCUUCAUUGAUUCUUGCUGCACUGAUUAAUUAAUGUCUGGUUUUCUAACAUUUCUGGGUUUCAUUUUCCACUCAUUAUUUUAUUUUUUUUUUGUUUUUAUCUCUGAUCAUUUGGUUGUGAGUGAGUGCAUGCGUGCACACCCGAUGUCACACAGUGAGUGGAAGUGUUCCUCCGCAAGUGAUGAGUGGUGGUGAGUUGGGUCAGAGUAGGAUGGCAGGACAGAAGGUCUGUUUUGCAGGUCAAGUUGGCCUUGUUGUCCCAAGUGGGUGUGAAAGAAUCUUUACUAAUACACAUUAAGGUGCAUUUCAUGAUGGCUUAAGGGUACUGAACCAUCUCUAUCUGAUACUGUGUUCCCUCCAAAGACUCCCUCCAGGGGGUGACCACAACAGGUAAGUGUACUGUUGUCUGCUGUCUGUCCCUUGCUUUGUAUACUCUUCCUCCCAGCCUCCCUCAUCCCUCUGCUCCACAGCCUCUCUCCCUCUCCACUCUUGCUCUAGUGGCCCACUUCUUUAUGCCUCUGUCACUCCCUCACUGUGUGGAUGUUUCCUGUGAAUUUGAUGAACUAUAUGAAUAAGCAAAUAUUGUUACCUCUCUGUCCAUAUUUUAUCAAACACAAAGCAUCUUUCUCAUAAUGAUUGAGUAUUAUUUCUUUGGCCAUCAUGAGGUGCACUGUAAUUGUGGGUUUGUCCCUUCCUGGAGUGUGGUGCACUCUGUCAGUCACAAUACAUUACACUAACCAUUCUAAGUCAAUAUUUUUUGCUCUUUUUAGUAGGAAUGUAGUCAAUUUCUAAGUCAUUUUUUCUCAUUUACAGAAAUUUUUUGUUUUAUUGCUUGGGCACUUUGCAUUAUCAAAGAUGAGUUUUUGAAAGCAGUGAUGUGAGGGUGAGCAAGGCUAUAUGGAGCCUUUUAAAAUGAUGGUGUGCAGUGAGUGUUGCACUCACAUCAAAGUGUUGAUAGUGAAAGUUGAGAAUGAACGUGAUUGGGUUGUUGAAAGGAACAGUGGACACGAAGAAAUGUAUUGCUUGUUCAUACAUUUGCAUCAGUGGCGGCAGCUUUCUUUGAUCCUGUGUGUAUGUUCCAUAUAUAUUCCUGAGCCACUGUUCUUGAGUCACACUGUGAGACUUUUUGAUGAUACAUUGUCUGCUUGAUUGAGAAGAACCAUCCAGAUCGUCUUUGCAAGUUUUGUCUUAGCUUUGAUGUUCAAUAUUUCAAUGCUUACAGAAGUAGACAUUUGUAAGUAUUUUAUUGUAUGUGUAGUGUAUAGAAUCAAUUGCAGAUAAUGCUUCUUUUUUAAUGUAGUUUUAGUGUUUUCACUUGCUAGAAAAAAAAUGAGUUAGUACUAUUUCUUCCCUCACACAUUCAUGGAAGAGGCAUGUAGAGAGAGUUACUUCAGUGGCAAUAAAGUCUAUAUAUUGUUAUUGCCAUUACAUUUUCAGUUAUACUCUUUUUCCUUUCAUUGUGUCCUAGUAUGUGGUUCUGUUGAGGUAGGCAUUCACUUUUCAGUAGCUUGCAGGACAUCCAUCUCAUGUGGACGAUUGAGGAAGUGCAAUCAUGUCAAACAAUCUGGUGACUUGCCAGGGAAGGUUUCUCCAUUCUGGUUACUGGUUCAUACUGUUGUUGGAGGCAUGUAUGGUAUUCAUGCAUAUUUUUCUACAUUCACAUGUAUGUCAUGAGAUCACCCUCUGUGAUGUUUGAAAGAACUUUAUGAAUAAUGAUAAGUUGUGCAUUAAAAUUCUAAUGAGAAAACUAGUGUCACAUUGUGCAAAAUCCUCUACAUGGACAUUUUUUGUUCAUGAUAAUGUGGUAAGGAGUCUGAUAAGCUGGGAGUGGUUUUUUGGAUGUGUACAACAUUGAGUCUGAAGAAUCAAGAAAUUACUUUUGGUGAUGGAUAUGAUGGUGGUGUGGUGUUUGUGAUGAUGAGAGUGAUGGAGUACAUAGAAAAUUGUGUCUAGGCUUGAUUUUAGAUGAAGCAGACCACCAUGGGAGGGGAUUGUGUGGCCAGGCAGGAUAGGUCGGUGGUGGCUGGUCUCUUCCAGAAGUGAGGGUUGGUGUCCUCUACCAUACCACAUGCCUCUUUGUGUUCUUUCUCUGCCUUCUAUCAAGCCAUUUUCAAACUUCAGUCUUUUCCAAGUGUUACAGGAAGCACAGAUGCAGUGUUGAGUUGCAUCCAAGAUGUGGCAAUUUCUGUGGCUGUCUGGCACCAGUUCACCCAAGCCAUGGAGUGGAAUGAACUUGCUGAGACAAGACUACAAGGAUUCUGAAGUGGACGAAGAUUGGCUGAGACAAGACUACAGUAACAUUUCCAUCCAUUGCAUCACUUUUCUCAUUAGUUUGUUGCUUAGCAUAGCAUCUCCAAGUCCCUAAAUCAUUAUAUAAUUUUUCUUACUUAAAGCCUCCAUUCAUUAUUAGUUAUAAAAAUAUUUUAGUAUCUUAUGAAGACUAAUAGUGUACUGUUGAGAAUAUACAUAGUGUACUGUUGAGAAUA